UGGUGAUGACAAGACCAUCAAGGUUUGGGAUGUGGCUACUGGUGCAAAACUGUAUACAUUUGAAGGUCAUGAUGCUUCUGUACAUUCUAUAUGCCCUCACUCUAGGGAAAACGUUCAUUUUAUCUUUUCAACAUCAGUGGAUGGAAAAAUAAAGGCAUGGUUAUAUGAUUCAAUGGGAUCCAGGGUUGAUUAUGAUGCUCCUGGUCACUCAUGCACCACAAUGGCCUACAGUUCUGAUGGGAAAAGGCUAUUUUCAUGUGGGACAAGUCAAGAGGGAGAGUCGCACAUGGUGGAAUGGAAUGAAAAUGAAGGUUCCAUAAAAAGAACAUAUCAAGGGUUUCAUAAACGUUCUUUGGGAGUUGUUCAAUUUGACACUAGCAAGAACAGGUUCAUAGCUGUUGGUGAUGAUUACUCAAUCAAAUUUUGGGAUAUGGAUAAUCCCAAUAUCUUGACAGCCAUUGAUGCUGAGGGAGGACUACCAGCAAGUCCACGAAUCCGAUUCAACAAGGAAGGCACUUUAUUGGCAGUUUCUGCAAAUGAUCAUAGAAUCAAAAUCUUGGCAACUAUUGACGGGCUACAUUUGAUGCGCACAUUCGAAGGCCAUUCUCUUAUUGCUUCUAGACUUGGAAUAGCAUCCGAGACUUUAACAAAGAAUGUUGACACUAGAAACUUGGAUGAUGUAAAAGCAAGAUUACCUGAAGAACCAAACCCAGCAAAGACAUGGAAGCUCAUUGAGAUUAAUGAUCCUUCCCGGCUUCGGUUGCUGAGGCUCUCAGCUCGUGUUAAACCAGAUAAGAUUGCAAGGUUGAUCUACACAAAUUCAGGCUCUGCCAUCUUGGCACUGGCGUUGAAUGGCAUUCACCUACUUUGGAAGUGGACGCGAACAGACCCCAAUUUAAUUGGGAAGGUGACAACCAAGAUUAACCCUCAACUGUUGCAACCAUCUUCUGGCACAUUAAUGACCAAUGAUCUAACAGAUGCUAAAUCAGAAGAGGCUGUGCCCUGCUUCGCUUUGUCUAAGAAUGAUUCCUACAUUAUGUCAGCAUCUGGAGGGAAAAUUUCCUUGUUCAACACCAUGACAUUUAAGACAAUGACAACAUUCAUGUCUCCGCCACCUGCGGCAACAUAUCUUGCUUUCCAUCCUCAAGAUAAUAAUAUAAUUGCAGUAGGCAUGGAUGAUUCCACAAUACACAUUUAUAAUGUUCGCGUGGAUGAGAUUAAGUGCAAGCUUAAGGGCCACUCUAAGAGAAUUACUGGCCUUGCCUUCUCCCAUGUGCUGAAUGUGCUUGUUUCCUCUGGGGCUGAUGCUCAGAUUAUUUUGUGGAGCUCUGACAAUUGGGAAAGACAAAAGAACACUUCGGUGCAAAUUCCAGCAGGGAAGACGCCUGUGGCAAUGUCAAACACCCAAGUUCAAUUUCACCAGGACCAGAUCCACUUCCUUAUGGUACAUGAGACUCAGCUUGCCAUAUAUGAAACAACAAAGCUUGAAUGCAAAAAGCAGCGGAUUGUUGGAGAAUUUUCAGCACCAAUCUCUCAUGCAACAUUCUCAUGUGAUAGUCAGCUGGUAUAUGCUAGCUUCUUAGAUGCAACAGUCCGUGUGUUUAGUGCUCAAAAUUUGAGACUACGUUGUCGCAUCAAUCCUUCCUCUUAUCUUCCUACUAAUGUCAGUUCUAAUGUCCACCCACUUGUGAUUGCUGCACAUCCACAAGAAUCGAAUCAGUUUGCAUUGGGACUAUCUGAUGGUGGGGUUCAUGUGUUUGAACCCCUUGAAUCUGAUGGCAAAUGGGGUGUGCCUCCUCCUGCUGAGAAUGGGUCAGCAAGCAGCGUGCCAGCUGCUCCUUCUGUAGGACCUUCGGGUUCAGACCAAGCCCAGAGAUGAUCUAAUGCCCGCCAGAGCACAAGUUCUUUUACAUGCUUGGCUUGCUGGCCUCUACUCCUAAGUUAGGUAUGACUGGCAUUUUGACUAGCUUCUAUGCAUUUUGAGUGUUGCUUUUAGAGCUUGGUACAUAAUCAUCACGAUAAAUCAUUUGAUUCAGUUAGUUUAGUUGAAGAACUAUGAUUUUGCCAUAUGAACUUGUAUGUCGUUACACUAAUAUUACCCUUUGCCCAGUCCAUAAUUGGUUGGUAGAUGGGUCAGUCUUAUCCAAAGAUCUUCCUUCUUAUCUGCUUUACCUACUAUUUUAUUUUCUUUCUCCUUUCUGACACCUAUUAUCUUGAUUCCAUUUUGGUUUGCAGUUUGAUGAUCAUGAUGUGUAAUUUACUCAAGGAACGACUUGCAAAAGAUGUAGAUUUAGCAUGUUUUUGUCAGAUACUACUGUGUUAGGUAAAUGCUGUAGGAAUAUUAAUAGUGCUUUUCAUCGUUUAGAAAAUUAUAUCUUGAAGAUUUUUUGUUUUCCAUUCUGUGUUUGUUUUCUUUCCUUUCAAUUGUUCAAUAGUCUGAAAAUUUUAUUAUUUGUCUUGAGCUCUUGGCAUCUUCAAAUAUUAAAGCUGCUUA
rnacentral:misc_RNA from 1 species